rnacentral:lncRNA from 1 species
CCCUCCCACCGGCUAACCAGAAAGGAACCCACCAUUGGUCUCCUUAGUAACGACUUCCAAGGCCCCUUGCACAUCUGAAAAGCGCACAGUGUGAUUUCCAGACCCAAGUUAGACAGCGAUUUCUUCACAAAGUGCAACGCCCUCAAUUAAUGAACCCUCUGGGAAUGAAGUACCUUCUAACAAAAACAUUGUUCAAAAUAAAGCUGGAAAAAAAC